ensembl:lncRNA
GGCAAAUCGAGCGCACCUCUCUGCGUUUCGAACACGCGUCACAAGAGGACCCGAGGGAAGCUCGGAAAGCUAAGUAGAAGUUAUUUGGAGAGGAGAGGAUAAUGGCUGCUGAAGAAAGAAUGCCGUUGGUUGAAAAGAGCCAAUCGGUGAAGCUCUAGGCAGCUCUUGUCCCUCCUUAGUGCCAGCUCCCAAGUUUGCAGUCUCUUGCUUCUACAGCCGAACAGAGCAGGCGGACUAAAACUUUGCUAUCGAGGGCAGAGCGAAACCGGAAGGUUUACUGAGCUGUGGCUUCACGUAAACGCUGAGCAUACACUCGACGGCGGUCAGGUUUUUUAUAUGGGACGAAUCCAAAGACCAGGUCAGCGAUUCCAGAACCCAGAGUGUUCCAGUGUUCACUGGAUGGCGAGCCAACCCAAGAUCCUAGGAGACGAUAUACAUACACACGCACACUCAUUUGCACAUUGAUGGACUACAAUCUUCUACUGUACGAGUAGUACGGUAGGAUAGACAAUCACACACACUCUUACCAUUGGACGGACUCUAUUGCAAUACACCCGUUUGUCAUGGGCCCCACCGGUACCAUUUGGACUUAAAAAAGACUAAUAGUUUUACUUGUGCACAAUUUUAUUUUAUUCUAUUGUUUUGCUACUUUGGGAGAAAAUUUUAUACUGGAAGUUCUGUUAAAACCUGUUGUAACACUGUGUUGUUUACAAAUUCCUUUUAAAGGGCUUAAAAUCACUAAAGCACUUUUAAGCCACACAACUGUGUUUGUCUGGUUUCUCUGCCAUUCAUAUACCAGAGCUCUAAGAGUCGUUCUUUAUCUUCUGAUACUAGCCCAAAUUACUCAUUACCUUGGUAGUUAUCCAUUGGUACUGUAUAUAAAUCCGGGUAAGUGCUACAUUUAGCGCAAAUCUUGUGUAGUUAGUGUGUAGUGUAGUCAAUAGUUUUGUUGUGUGUGUCAGAACAAUGAGGCGACUGCUGAAU